rnacentral:rRNA from 1 species
UACGUAGGUGGCAAGCGUUGUCCGGAUUUACUGGGUGUAAAGGGCGCGUAGGCGGGUUUUUAAGUCAGGUGUGAAAUCCCUCGGCUCAACCGAGGAACUGCACUUGAAACUGGAGAUCUUGAGUGUCGGAGAGGGAAGCGGAAUUCCUAGUGUAGCGGUGAAAUGCGUAGAUAUUAGGAGGAACACCAGUGGCGAAGGCGGCUUUCUGGACGAUAACUGACGCUGAGGCGCGAAAGCGUGGGGAGCAAACAGG